rnacentral:rRNA from 1 species
GAUGAACGCUGGCGGCGUGCCUAAUACAUGCAAGUCGAGCGAACAGACGAGGAGCUUGCUCCUCUGACGUUAGCGGCGGACGGGUGAGUAACACGUGGAUAACCUACCUAUAAGACUGGGAUAACUUCGGGAAACCGGAGCUAAUACCGGAUAAUAUAUUGAACCGCAUGGUUCAAUAGUGAAAGACGGCUUUGCUGUCACUUAUAGAUGGAUCCGCGCCGCAUUAGCUAGUUGGUAAGGUAACGGCUUACCAAGGCAACGAUGCGUAGCCGACCUGAGAGGGUGAUCGGCCACACUGGAACUGAGACACGGUCCAGACUCCUACGGGAGGCAGCGGUAGGGAAUCUUCCGCAGUGGGCGAAAGCCUGACGGAACAACGCCGCGUGAGUGAUGAAGGUCUUCGGAUCGUAAAACUCUGUUAUUAGGGAAGAACAGAUGUGUAAGUAACUAUGCACGUCUUGACGGUACCUAGUCAGAAAGCCACGGCUAACUACGUG